AUCGCUUCUCGGCCUUUUGGCUAAGAUCAAGUGUAGUACAAUAGCCAAGAUGUGGAGCAACCUCAGUCCACUGAAUGGAUAAAAAGAUAUGGUGUAUAUAUACAAUAGAAUAUUAUGCAGCCAUAUUAUUAUUAUUUAUAUACAUAUUACAAUGAGAUCACAUCAUCUGCGACAACAUGGAUAAACCUUU
ensembl:snRNA U2 U2 spliceosomal RNA